rnacentral:lncRNA from 1 species
ACUGAGAUAAGUCCUGGCAGCCAGAGGAACUGGAAACAACUUCAAGGGCUUCAGUCUCAUCAACACUCUUCCAGAGAUCUCAAAAUGUCAAAGAAAAUGAAAUAUUUCUUACAAAAAGGCAGGAACUCCUUAGAUCAUCUAAUUACUUGGCACAAGACUAGAACCAAUAAAUAGAUGAAGUAAGUCAAGAGAUGAGUUGUGAUAAAAAAUGAUUUGCCAGUACAAGAAUUUGAUUAACAUGGGGUCCUGCUCUUCAAACAUACCAAUCAGAAAGAAAAUAAAUAAAUAUGGCUGAAAGACUCCUUGGGAAGGGG